rnacentral:ncRNA from 1 species
UUAUCCGGACAUAGGGUUGACUGGCUGGUAAAGCUUCUAAAGCUUCCUGGCUUUUAGGGAUUCCGGUGUGCUCUUGAUUGGCUUUGAAAAAUGGAGGGAAAGCUGCUAUUUGCCCGCCUGGCCGUACCAUUAACUGCCUCAGGUCUCCAAGGUUCACAGCCUCUGGUCGAUAGAAGAAAGUAGUUAAGGGAAGUCGGCAAAACUGAUACGUAAAUUCGGGGAAACGAAUGGCUGGGUGUAUAGUACCAGAGUGUUCUUCGUCGGUUGGAGCUCCGUAGGCCUGUUCUUUGUUUUCCUGCGGCGCGUCUGUAGACCACUGGCACUGACUGUAAUGUGGGCACUUGUCUGCGUGCACAGUGCACAGCUAACUCAGAACUGGGGCGGACAAAGGGAUUCCGAUUGUUUAAGUAAACCAAAGCAUUGCGAUGACAGCAAACGUUGCUGACGCAACGUGAUUCUUCUCGAGUGCUCUGAAUGCGAAUNCCAAAGCAUUGCGAUGACAGCAAACGUUGCUGACGCAACGUGAUUCUUCUCGAGUGCUCUGAAUGCGAAUAUGAUGAAGGUCAAUCAAGCGCGGACUAACGACAGACAUGACGUAAAUCAUUGAAAAGCUGGGUUUUGGAGCUAGGGAGCUGCGUCCCCAAAAACGAUAGUUCAGAACGUUCUGAGGGAGCCUCAACUAUCUCCUGCUCGUGCCCGUUUUGUGCAGCUAUGGGCUGCAUGAAACCUGCAUAUCUGGU